UGCCCGGUAGCUAAAUGCGGAAGAGAUAAGUGCUGAAAGCAUCUAAGCACGAAACUUGCCCCGAGAUGAGUUCUCCCUGACUCCUUGAGAGGUCCUGAAGGAACGUUGAAGACGACGACGUUGAUAGGCCGGGUGUGUAAGCGCAGCGAUGCGUUGAGCUAACCGGUACUAAUGAACCGUGAGGCUUAACCUUACAACGCCGAAGGUGUUU
rnacentral:rRNA from 1 species